GGACUACAGGGGUAUCUAAUCCUGUUUGCUCCCCACGCUUUCGCACCUCAGUGUCAGUAUCAGUCCAGGUGGUCGCCUUCGCCACUGAUGUUCCUUCCUAUAUCUACGCAUUUCACCGCUACACAGGAAAUUCCACCACCCUCUACCGUACUCUAGCUUGCCAGUUUUGGAUGCAGUUCCCAGGUUGAGCCCGGGGAUUUCACAUUCAACUUAACACACCACCUACGCGCGCUUUACGCCCAGUAAUUCCGAUUAACGCUUGCACCCUCUGUAUUACCGCGGCGGCUGGCAC
rnacentral:misc_RNA from 1 species